UCUUAUGGAUGAGCAAAGAAAGUGGUUUCUUGAGUGGGAAUGUACUCUUGGUGAAGAUGCUGUGAA
rnacentral:pre_miRNA from 1 species